AUCCAGCUGACGAGUCCCAAAUAGGAUGAAAUGAGCUUCCUGGAU
rnacentral:hammerhead_ribozyme from 1 species